GUGCCAGCCGCCGCGGUAAUACGGAGGGUGCAAGCGUUAUCCGGAUUCACUGGGUUUAAAGGGAGCGCAGGCGGACUGGUAAGUCAGUGGUGAAAGCCCUGGGCUCAACCCGGGAACUGCCAUUGAUACUAUCAGUCUUGAAUAUCGUUGAGGUUUGCGGAAUGGGUCAUGUAGCGGUGAAAUGCAUAGAUAUGACCCGGAACACCUAUUGCGAAGGCAGCAGGCUAAGCGAAGAUUGACGCUGAGGCUCGAAAGCGUGGGGAUCAAACAGGAUUAGAAACCCGCGUAGUCC
rnacentral:rRNA from 1 species